AUUCACAAAAUGCGGGAAAUUCUUUAAAUAUGCAGAUAUUUUGCACAUAAUUGUAUAGCAGACGCCAAGCAACACCCAAGAAAUGACAUUUUACAAAGCUACAAGCUUCCUCCCCCCACCCCACUUCUGUCACAAAACAUCAAACAUUCAAAGCCUACAGACGUUACAUCUAGAAGGCGGUGAUCACAGCACACAAGAUUUUGAGUUAAUUUUUACACUUCUAAGAUGAUUUGUGCUGAGUUUGUCAAUUAAGUCGUCAAUACAAUUUUCACAAGAGGCAAAUCUGAGUAUGGAAAGUCAAACACCUAGAUGAUUGGUUCUCAGGCUCUGAACAAUUGUUGGUACUUAGGAAAUGUAGCCUUCUUCCAUGCAGAUGGAAAGAAUCCGAUGUUAGUACAGCUUUGAUACCUUUGCGGCAAGACAAAGAAAUGCUACGUAAACCCAACCUUGUGUUAAGAUAUUCUACCAUUAACAGGCACUUCCUUAAGUAUAUUACCAGUACAUACAAAGACUUUUACUGUCUUAGUAAGGAUAAGAGAAAACUGAUAAGACAGAAAAUCUUCACACUGUGAAUGGAGAUUUUUUUUAAAAAAAACCUUGCAUACCAGUGUUAUCUAAAUAAAUAAAUAUAUAUAUUGUAUUAUUUAUUAUUCACACUUCCAAGAUAUGAGGUUUAAUGGAGGGAAAAUCAUACAUGCUGGGCAAUUGAAAAUUCAGUCACCUUAACAGAGAGUCAAUGAGAAAUAUAAAAGAAAAAUGUGUUUAUUUUAUAUCCACCUAUUUACUGAAAAAGGACACUGUUACAUUUGCACCAUCAACAUGACACUACAAAAACUCUCUUCCAAUCUAUGAAUCUAUGGAUAAAAUGUAUGACACAAGAAUUAUACGAUUAUGUGUUGAGACAGAAUAAGAGUUCAUAAUAUGAUACGAGGGUCAUUAAAAAUGGGAAUGACUCGCCAUCUUAUGUAACACCUAAAUAGAAAUAAAAUUUAGAAAAAGCAAA